rnacentral:rRNA from 1 species
UCGAGAAUCUUCCGCAAUGGACGAAAGUCUGACGGAGCGACGCCGCGUGAUGGAUGAAGUCCCUCUGGGACGUAAACAUCUUUUAUGAGGGAGAAAGUUUAUUGAUAGUACCUCACGAAUAAGGGGUUGCUAAACUCGUGCCAGCAGCAGCGGUAAUACGAGUGCCCCGAGCGUUAUCCGGAAUCAUUGGGCGUAAAGGGUGUGUAGGUGGCAUUGUUAGUCACACGUUAAACCCUGGGGCUUACCCCAGAUCUGCGUGUGAUACGGCAAAGCUAGAGGAUGGCAGGGAUGUAUGGAACUCAUGGAGUAGGGGUGAAAUCCGUUGAUAUCAUGGGGAACACCAAAAGCGAAGGCAGUACAUUGGGCCACUCCUGACACUGAAACACGAAAGCGUAGGUAGCGAAUGGGAUUAGAUACCCAAGUAGUCCCUGAGCGGGCUGGCAAGGCGCAU